rnacentral:rRNA from 1 species
GCAAUGCCGCGUGAGUGAAGAAGGCCUUCGGGUUGUAAAGCUCUUUUGUCAGGGAAGAAAAGGGUCUGGCUAAUAUCCGGGCCUCAUGACGGUACCUGAAGAAUAAGCACCGGCUAACUACGUGCCAGCAGCCGCGGUAAUACGUAGGGUGCAAGCGUUAAUCGGAAUUACUGGGCGUAAAGCGUGCGCAGGCGGUUUUGUAAGACUGUCGUGAAAUCCCCGGGCUUAACCUGGGAAUGGCGAUGGUGACUGCAAGGCUAGAGUUUGGCAGAGGGGGGUAGAAUUCCACGUGUAGCAGUGAAAUGCGUAGAUAUGUGGAGGAACACCGAUGGCGAAGGCAGCCCCCUGGGUCAAAACUGACGCUCAUGCACGAAAGCGUGGGGAGCAAACAGGAUUAGAUACCCUGGUAGUCCACGCCCUAAACGAUGUCUACUAGUUGUCGGGUCUUAAUUGACUUGGUAACGCAGCUAACGCGUGAAGUAGACCGCCUGGGGAGUACGGUCGCAAGAUUAAAACUCAAAGGAAUUGACGGGGACCCGCACAAGCGGUGGAUGAUGUGGAUUAAUUCGAUGCAACGCGAAAAACCUUACCUACCCUUGACAUGGAUGGAAUCCUUGAGAGAU